rnacentral:rRNA from 1 species
CCUACGGGAGGCAGCAGUGGGGAAUAUUGCGCAAUGGGCGAAAGCCUGACGCAGCGACGCCGCGUGAGGGAUGAAGGUCUUCGGAUCGUAAACCUCUGUCAGCAGGGAAGAACGGUCACUGUGCUAAUCAGCAGUGAAUUGACGGUACCUGCACAGGAAGCACCGGCUAACUCAGUGCCAGCAGCCGCGGUAAUACGGAGGGUGUGAGCGUUAAUCGGAAUUACAGGGCGUAAAGCGCUCGUAGACGGUAUGUCAAGUCAGGGGUGAAAUCCCCGCGCUCAACGUGGGAACUGCCUUUGAAACUGGGAAGCUGGAGUGUGUGAGAGGAUAGUGGAAUUCCAGGUGUAGGAGUGAAAUCCGUAGAUAUCUGGAGGAACAUCAGUGGCGAAGGCGACUAUCUGGCACGUAACUGACGCUGAGGAGCGAAAGCGUGGGUAGCAAACAGGAUUAGAUACCCCAGUAGUC